GUGUCAGCACAUAUACUAAAAUUGGAACGAACGAUACAGAGAUUAUCUUGGCCCGCGUGCAACAAUGACAUGUAGGUUUGUGAAGUGUUCCAUAUUGUU
rnacentral:snRNA from 1 species